CCUACGGGAUGCAGCAGUGGGGGAUAUUGCACAAUGGGGGAAACCCUGAUGCAGCGACGCCGCGUGGGUGAAGAAGCGCCUCGGCGCGUAAAGCCCUGUCAGCAGGGAAGAAAAUGAAGGUACCUGAAGAAGAAGCCCCGGCUAACUAAGUGCCAGCAGCCGCGGUAAUACGUAGGGGGCAAGCGUUAUCCGGAUUUACGGGGUGUAAAGGGGGGGCAGACGGCGAUGCAAGCCAGGAGUGAAAGCCCGGGGCGCAACCCCGGGACUGCUCUUGGGACUGGGUGGCUAGAGUGGAGGAGGGGCAGGCGGAAUUCCUGGUGUAGCGGUGAAAUGCGUAGAUAUCAGGAGGAACACCGGUGGCGAAGGCGGACUGCUGGACUGCAACUGACGUUGAGGCCCGAAAGCGUGGGGAGCAAACAGGAUUAGAUACCCGGGUAGUC
rnacentral:rRNA from 1 species